GCAAAAAUUACUGACUUGGAAAAUGCUCCUGAUGAAGAAUGCAAGUGGCACCUGCAUCUCGGAAUGAUUCUGACAUUGCCCUGAUUAAGAAAUCAUCUAUCGAUAAUAAUGGCAUAGCUCUGGUGCAAGUUACAUGCGAAGUGCGAGUUCAAUGUCAAUGACAGAUAUCUAUAUCCUUUUAUACUGCUCUUUUGCACAUUUUGCAGGCAUGAUUACACAUGUCUGAGAAGGAAGGCGCUUACAGGGAAAAAACAAGGAAUGGGGAUGAUAUUCUUCAAAGGCCUAAGUUGGUAUUGAUCCUUGUAAUUGUAGUCUACUUUUUGUACAUAGUCANNNAGAAAAUCAUCCAAUAUACUAAUGCAUACAGACUUAUGAACUAGCCUAAGUAUACAACACCAUUCACCAUUUAAUUUACAUAUUGUUUAUAAUAAAUUCAUAUGAAACUCAUUUCUGAUUUUAGUAAAUUUCUCAUGUUGAUUCAUUUUAAAUUUAUAAUUUUACCGCCCUGUACCUCAAAUGUGUAGCUUUAUUAAUUUAUAUCUCUUGUUAGUUUAGAAUUUAUAAUCUCUAAUACAAUUUGAUCCAAGUAUAAUCAAUUUUAUAGAAUUAAUAAAUGUAGAGUUUUAAUUAAAUUCCUAUAUAUAUAUAUAUAUAUAGUGCUAAUCCUUCCUCCCUCACAAGUUGAGGGAAUAAAGCAUGUAAAAUGGUUAUUUCAGUUGGUUCCCAUUUAUCAAAUUGUGUUGCCAAUCGUUUUUUUUACUUUUGUUUUUUGUACUUAAGUCUUUGUGUUAACAGUUCCGCAAAUCCGUUUGUUUUGUUGUUAAAUAAUUUAUGUAUAAUAAACUUUGUUAAUUCAUUUUCCAAGUCGUCAUUGAUAUUUCCUAAUCAAUUUCUUUCCAAAUUCACUUGAGUGGGUAUACAGGAAUCUAAAUUUUGUCGAAUUGUUAAUGUUAUGCUCUUUUGAGGUGUUCAUGUUCCUUCAUUUGGCUUAUGUUAUUCAUGUAAUGUUGAGACUAAAUGAUCCUAUGAAAUUAUGCUGAUACUUCCCACACUGUCUGUUGCCACUUUUUCAAAUCCCCAAGUAACUUCCUUCCUUCCUUCCUUCUUCUUUUUCUCAGAGUCUAUUGACAUUGCCUUCAAUUCGGCCUUGCAGACAGAGAUACUAGAAGUUAAG
rnacentral:lncRNA from 1 species